rnacentral:misc_RNA from 1 species
UGCUAAACAGGGAGUCCAAGUUGACCUGGGACUGUUGGAGCAAAAAAAAAUAAUUAAAAAUCGUAGCUCCGUUUACUGCCCAUCCAAACUUGCCUCAAAUUUAUUUUUUUUCUCCCGUUUUCACACCAGAAUGCUUUCUUUGUUUUUUUAUUUGAACAUUCUCUCAUUUUUCGAUAAAAGUAUCGCUAAUACAUUCGACAUCAGUUCAUCGGCUAUUCCCUGUAUCUGAUAUAUGUAUAGCAUUGUAUCUUUUUUUAUUUUAUUGUGAUGUACGUCAUAAGAAUAAGAGAAGUGCAUGUUUGGUAUGUAACAAAAGAGGCAUAAUUUGUAGUUCAGACUUCAGAGUUCUAUUGAGUGAAUACUUCAUUACAUUUUACCAAAAUGCAUUAAUUUUCUGGCAUUUUAUUCUUGGGUCAACUGGGCAAUGUUACUGUAGUCUGUAGGUUAGAAAUUAGAAUCUUCAUGUGUUUCAAUUGUGUUGCUGAUUCUGACAACAGCAUACUAUUAGUUGAUGGAUAACAUGGCAUUUCAUGCCACCUGUGUUGUUGAUGUCAGAUUCUUGGAAUUCUUGAUUUUGGUCGGGAUGCUUGGAUACA